GACGAACGCUGGCGGCGUGCUUAACACAUGCAAGUCGAACGGAAAGGCCCUGCUUUUGUGGGGUGCUCGAGUGGCGAACGGGUGAGUAACACGUGAGUAACCUGCCCUUGACUUUGGGAUAACUUCAGGAAACUGGGGCUAAUACCGGAUAGGAGCUCCUGCUGCAUGGUGGGGGUUGGAAAGUUUCGGCGGUUGGGGAUGGACUCGCGGCUAAUCAGCUUGUUGGUGGGGUAGUUGCUUACCAAGGCUUUGACGGGUAGCCGGCCUGAGAGGGGGACCGGACACAUUGGGACUGAGAUACGGCGCAGACUCCUACGGGCGGCAGCAGUGGGGAAUAUUGCACAAAGAGCGGAAGCCUGAUGCAGCAACGCCGCGUGCGGGAUGACGGCCUUCGGGUUGUAAACCGCUUUCGCCUGUGACGAAGCGUGAGUGACGGUAAUGGGUAAAGAAGCACCGGCUAACUACUUG
rnacentral:rRNA from 1 species